rnacentral:rRNA from 1 species
CCCGCUGAACUUAAGCAUAUCAAUAAGCGGAGGAAAAGAAACUAACAAGGAUUCCCCUAGUAACUGCGAGUGAAGCGGGAAAAGCUCAAAUUUAAGAUCUGACAGCCUCGCUGUCCGAGUUGUAAUCUGGAGAAGCAUUUUCUGUGUCGGACCGUGUACAAGUCUCUUGGAAUAGAGCGUCAUAGAGGGUGAGAAUCCCGUCCAUGACACGGACUCCCGAUGCUUUGUGAUAUGCUCUCGAAGAGUCGAGUUGUUUGGGAAUGCAGCUCAAAAUGGGUGGUAAAUUCCAUCUAAAGCUAAAUAUUGGCGAGAGACCGAUAGCGAACAAGUACCGUGAGGGAAAGAUGAAAAGCACUUUGGAAAGAGAGUUAAACAGUACGUGAAAUUGUUGAAAGGGAAACGCUUGAAGUCAGUCGCGUUGUCUGAGACUCAGCCUUGCUUUUGCUUGGUGUACUUCUUAGUUAACGGGUCAACAUCAAUUUUGGUUGGUGGAUAAAGGUAUUGGGAAUGUGGCACCUUCGGGUGUGUUAUAGCCCUUUACUGCAUACACUGACUGGGAUUGAGGACUGCAGCACGCCGUCUUGGCCGGGGGUUCGCCCUACGUAACGUGCUUAGGAUGUUGACAUAAUGGCUUUAAGCGACCCGUCUUGAAACACGG